UGAAGCGCGGCCGGUGAACAUGGUGGAGGCUGCGGGGAGCCGCGAACCCUCCGGCCCGCGGCAGCGAAGGGCGAGCGGCGGGGAUGCGGGGCCGGCACGGAGCUGACAGCGGGCGGGAGGAAUCAGUGCUUGGUCACCGGCACAGCAAAGUUCUUCCUCGGGUCCAGAUGGAGCCCAGCAAUGAAGAAGAACCCAGCACUCCUGUUUGUGGAUAACAGGAAUAUCUUCCACUGGAUUACACAAAAUAGAAAUGAAACCCCUGCUAAUUCAACAGCGGCCUAGGAGGGUAGGGAGACAAAGCAAUUCCUUCUCCAGCUGGGGACCAAGGACAACCACCCAAAGCUCAGGCCCAAGAGCAGAAACAACGUGGAAUGAAGAAGGAAAAACAAGGAUGGGACUUCAUAACCUAAAGCUAUAAUUGGAUAAGUAACUCCAAUAUGCACAUGGAGCAGAACUUAUAAAAGUGACAGACCUCAUGA